rnacentral:hammerhead_ribozyme from 1 species
ACCCAGCUGACGAGUCCCAAAUAGGACGAAAUGCGCAUCAUGAAU